rnacentral:rRNA from 1 species
CGGCCCGGUAUUUGACCGUGCGAAGGUAGCGCAAUCACUUGUCUUUUAAAUGAAGACCUGUAUGAAUGGUGAAACGAGGGCUUAACUGUCUCCCCUUUCAAGUCAAUGAAAUUGAUCUACCCGUGCAGAAGCGGGUAUAAAAAUACAAGACGAGAAGACCCUUUGGACGCUUAAGAUACAAAAAUCAACUAUAUCAACGACGCUAAACAAGUUAAGCUAAAUAGUACCUGAUUUUAUCUCUUCGGUUGGGGUGACCACGGGAGAAAACCAAGCUCCCACGAGGACUGGGGUAUAGUCCCUAAAAUCAAGAUAAGACAUUUCUAAAUCACAGAACAUCUGACCACAAAGAUCCGGAUAAACCUGAUUAACGAACCAAGUUACCCUAGGGAUAACAGCGCAAUCCCCUUCCAGAGUCCAUAUCGACAAGGGGGUUUACACCGCGAUUUGAUCGG